GGAGAAGUACCCAAGUGGCUGAAGGGGCUCCCCUGCUAAGGGAGUAGGUCGUGUAAGCGGCGCGAGGGUUCAAAUCCCUCCUUCUCCG
rfam:Bacillus clausii KSM-K16 DNA, complete genome.